rnacentral:lncRNA from 1 species
AAGCAGGUACCAAAACCUCAAGCAGCAUUAUUAAUAAUAUCUAAAAAUUGGGACCAGUACUGUUACUUGGACAUUGUAUGAAUAAAUUUGUAAUCCGUUCACAAGAUGAAUUACAAUUUGACAUUUAAAACAUGAAACCCUGACACAUUCAACCAGAAUAGGACCCUCAGAGAAGCUGAGGUGGGUGACAGAAUCAGGGUUUGAGAAGACUGUACCCUAUCUUGUGUGGGGUUCUUGACAGGUCAACCAGCCUGUGCCCACGAAAAUCCCAGUUUGUGGUGUUAGGAGGGGGAGGGCUACCUGGAUGGGGAGGAAGGACAGUCUGGAAAGGGGAGUGCUCCCCGUGUGCCGAGUGGGUACAUGAUGUAAACCUAGAACAGAGUAGGUACCUGCUCCCUGGAGGUCCUGGCAUCCAGUGCUGGCCACUGUCCUGCAAGGUGGCUGCUCAUCGUCCUUGCUUCCUGUGGUUCAUGCCCUGAUGUCCAGGUGCUGCUGCCUUCAUUGAGUAAGGGCUGACCCUCCAGUAGUGGAGGUAACAGUGUGCACAUCCAUGGUGCAUCCUCAAGGGUAGGUCCAAAUGGGUCUCCAGCAGUACUCACUCUGUGGGAAGCCAGCAC